GUACUUGCUGACCUGGAAAUAUCUUGAAAUUAAAAGCAUUAUCUUGAUGCACAGCAACCAGAUUAAUGCUCAGGCUUUGACAUGCAAGCACAUACCCAUC